rnacentral:rRNA from 1 species
GAUGAACGCUGGCGGCGUGCCUAAUACAUGCAAGUCGAGCGAACGGACGAGAAGCUUGCUUCUCUGAUGUUAGCGGCGGACGGGUGAGUAACACGUGGAUAACCUACCUAUAAGACUGGGAUAACUUCGGGAAACCGGAGCUAAUACCGGAUAAUAUUUUGAACCGCAUGGUUCAAAAGUGAAAGACGGUCUUGCUGUCACUUAUAGAUGGAUCCGCGCUGCAUUAGCUAGUUGGUAAGGUAACGGCUUACCAAGGCAACGAUGCAUAGCCGACCUGAGAGGGUGAUCGGCCACACUGGAACUGAGACACGGUCCAGACUCCUACGGGAGGCAGCAGUAGGGAAUCUUCCGCAAGGGGCGAAGGCCUGACGGAGCAACGCCGCGUGAGUGAUGAGGGUCUUCGGAUCGUAAAACUCUGUUAUUAGGGAAGAACAUAUGUGUAAGUAACUGUGCACAUCUUGACGGUACCUAAUCAGAAAGCCACGGCUAACUACGUG